GUUGAGGUCUAUCCCGGUGGGGCUUUUUCUGUAGCCAUACAUCGUUGGAAACGCCUCAUAGAGUAACACUGUGGUUUUGCUUUCCUCACAGGACUAUUUGUUAGAUCUGUGGAAAGGAACUCUACCAGACAGUU
ensembl:snoRNA